AAAUUAAAGUCCCAGGUGCGGCAUGGCUGUUGUCAGCUCGUGUUGUGAGAUGUUGGGUUAAGUCCCGCAACGAGCCCAACCCUUAUCCUCAGUUGCCAUCAUUUAUUUGGGCUCUCUAAGAGGAGACUCCCGGUGUCAACGGGAGGAAGGUGGGGAUGACGUCAAGUCCUCAUGGCCCUUAUGUCCUGGGCUACACACGUGCUACAAUGGUUGAUACAAAGCGCUGCGAAGCCGCGAGGUGGAGCGAAUCGCAAAAAGUCAGCCUCAGUACGGAUUGCACUCUGCAACUCGAGUGCAUGAAGUCGGAAUUGCUAGUAAUCGCUGAUCAGCAGGCAGCGGUGAAUACGUUCCCGGGCCUUGUACACACCGCCCGUCACACCAUGGGAGUCGAGUGCUCCAGAAGUGGCCGCGCUAACCCGCAAGGGAGGCAGGUCCCCAAGGAGUGUUUGGUAACUGGGGUGAAGUCGUAACAAGGUA
rnacentral:rRNA from 1 species